rnacentral:rRNA from 1 species
UAAUCUACCUUCGGAUGGGGAAUAACAAUCGGAAACGGUUGCUAAUACCGCAUAAUGCAGCGGCACCUAAUGGUGACAGUUGUUAAAGCGGGGGAUCGAAAGACCUCGCGUCUGAAGAGGAGCCUGCGGCGGAUUAGCUAGUUGGUAAGGUAAUGGCUUACCAAGGCUACGAUCUGUAUCCGACCUGAGAGGGUGGUCGGACACACUGACACUGAAUAACGGGUCAG